GAUGAACGCUGGCGGCGUGCCUAAUACAUGCAAGUCGAGCGAACGGACGAGAAGCUUGCUUCUCUGAUGUUAGCGGCGGACGGGUGAGUAACACGUGGAUAACCUACCUAUAAGACUGGGAUAACUUCGGGAAACCGGAGCUAAUACCGGAUAAUAUUUUGAACCGCAUGGUUCAAAAGUAAAAGACGGUCUUGCUGUCACUUAUAGAUGGAUCCGCGCUGCAUUAGCUAGUUGGUAAGGUAACGGCUUACCAAGGCAACGAUGCAUAGCCGACCUGAGAGGGUGAUCGGCCACACUGGAACUGAGACACGGUCCAGACUCCGACGGGGGGCAGCAGUAGGGAAUCUUCCGCAAUGGGCGAAAGCCUGACGGAGCAACGCCGCGUGAGUGAUGAAGGUCUUCGGAUCGUAAAACUCUGUUAUUAGGGAAGAACAUAUGUGUAAGUAACUGUGCACAUCUUGACGGUACCUAAUCAGAAAGCCACGGCUAACUACGUG
rnacentral:rRNA from 1 species